UAUAUUUAUCAUGUACAUUGAUGGUUGAAUUUUCAUUAUAUAGCUCUAUGGUAAAAAGUUUUGAAUGAGAAACUAUGUUUAAUAGCCAUUUCAGAAACAAGUGAAGUCAGUGAGCAUCUUGUUUUAGGAAGAGGGGGAUGGUGCGGACAUUGGAGUGAAAGGAAGUCCUAUGUCAGAGGGCUCUGUGCACAUUUUCCUGAAGUACCUCAGCUAUGCUUAAAUGUAAUCUGUUAUUUUAACCGAUCAUAAUGGUUGCAUUUUGCCUUUUCUCAUAUUAAAUUAUAAAAAUGAUAACUUAUAAAUAGGGCAAAAGUUUAUUUUUCAGGAUGCCUCUCCCUUCUCUAACAGAUUGAAUUUUGUUUCCAAAGACUUCAAAAGCUACAAGAUUAUUGUGAAAGGAGAAACACUGUUUUCGAAGGCUGCUGAUGCCUAUUAGCCAGAAGAAAGAGCCUGAAUCAUUCAAAGGUUUUCCAUCUAGUAAAGAAGUGUGGUAAAAAUCUUGCCCAGAUCUGCAUGUGCUAAGCAUCUAGGUAGGUUGGAGCAUCAUAUUAAUGACACCCAGUGAAGAAACGAAAGGUAAAACUAUAAUGCAAUAUAUUUCUGUGUCUCAUGUUGAAACUUCAUAUUCAAAGGCUAAAGGGACUUCAUUUUUCUUCUCCUUCCCCAGUUGUAUAUUUCAGUUUUGUAUUGAAAUGUUCUCUGGAUUCAUAAAAUAUUUAGGGACUACAUAAAGAAGAAAGACUUUGGAAUCAAAGGCAAGAUUCACCUAACACAACUUCUGUUGGAUGAAACUAGGAAAUCAGGAUCUAUCAAAGGCCCAGUGUUAAUCGGUAUCAGUUUCUCACCAUGUUUUGAUUAGAAGAACAUUGAACAGCAAACAUUUAAGGAUUUGUCUGACUGAAUACCGAUUUAAAGUUCUGAUCUCUAGUAAUGUCAGAUAUAUUGCCUUGGUAAAUUGUACAGGUCAAUUGUUAAAGAUGAAAGCAUAACUUCUAUACUUAUUGUUUGAAUAACUUUAGAGAAAAAAAUUAAUGUUAUUUAUUUUUCAGAAUGAAGUGUAAUUACUAUAUCAAAAAUCCACAGAAUGUGAAAGUAUAAAGGAAAACUCUCAGUUGCUAAGCUAAAAACUUUGGAGUUAGACAUAUGGACAGCCCACCCCAAGGGAAGAAUCAGAGGAGAAGGGACACAAGACCCCAGAAACACACAAAACACCUUAACAUGCAUGCUGCAUCUCUCUAAAAUGGUGGAACCUGUUUACCAGCUCUGGAGAAUGGCUGCCUGUGGCAGACAUAGGAGUUGUCCUCACGCUGUACUUCCUAUCUUCCACGCAGGGAUGCAGUUUUGCCAUGUUGGCCAGUCUGGUCUCGAACUCCUGACCUUAAGUGACCCGCCCGCCUCAGUCUCCCAAAGGGCUGGGAUUACAGGAUGCCAUUCUAUUUCAUCUGACGAAUUUUCAUCUGACGUCCGUUUACAGUUCACCCUUAAACAACAUGGAUUUGAACUGCGUGGGUCUAUUUAUAUGUGAAUUUUUUUUUAGUAAAUAUAUUGAAAAAUAUUUUGGAGAUUUGCAACAACUUGAAGAAACUUGCAGACAAACUGUAUAGCAUAGAAAUACUUUCUAAAAAUUUUUUUUGGCCGAGGUCUGUGGCUCAGACCUGUAAUCCCAGCACUUUGGGAGGUGGAGGCAGGCAGAUCACCUGAGCUCAGGAGUUUGAGACAAGCCUGGCCAACACGGUGAAACCCCGUCUCUAUUAAAAAUACAAAAAUUUACCGGGCAUGGUGGCGGGCGCCUGUAGUUCCAGUUACUAGGGAGGCUGAGGCACGAGAAUCACUUGAACCCGGGAGGCGGAGGUUGCAGUGAGCCGAGAUCGCACUACUGCACUCCAGCCUGGGUGACAGAGCCAGACUCCGUCUCAAAUAAAUAAAUAAAUAAAUAAAUAAAUUUUAAAGUUAGGGCCAGGCACGGUGGUUCGCACUUAUAAUCCCAGCACUUUGGGAGGCUGAAGCGGAAGGAUCAUUUGAGCCCAAGGGUUUGAGACCAGUCUGAGCACAUAGUGGUACCCCAUUGCUACAAAAAAAAAAAAAAAAGGUAAAAAGUUAGUAAGUUGUGGUGGCACUCCUGAAGUCCCAGCUACUCAGGAUUGGGAGGAUCACUUGAGCCUGGAAGGUUGAGGCUGCAGUGAGCCUUGAUUGCAAACUCUGUACUCUAGCCUGGGUGACAGAAUGAGACCCUGUCUCAAAGAAAAAAAAAAAAGAUAAAAAAGAAAAAAAAUAGGAAUAGAAAAAGUUGGGUAUGUCAUGAGUGCAUAAAUACAUAAAUAUGUGUAGCCACUAGCCUGUUUUAUCAUUUACUGCCAUGAAAUACUUGAGUCAGCAAAAACAACCCCUUCUCUUCCUCUUCCUCUUCAACCUACUCAACAUGAAGACAAUGAGAAUGAAGACGUUUAUUAUUAUCCACUUCCACUUAAUGAAUAGUAAAUAUAUUUUUUCUUAUGAUUUUCAUAAUAACAUUUUACUUUCUCUAGCUUACUUUAUUGUGUUAAUUGACUGUUUAUGUCAUUGGUAAGGCUUCUGGUCAACAGUAGGCUACUAGUAGUUAAUUUUGGGGGGAUCUAAAAGUUAUACAUGGGUAAUUGACCAUGUAGAAGUCGGCACACCUAACACCCAUGUUAUUCAAAGGAUUCGUGGGUCAACCGUAUUUCACUAUUUUUAUCUAUUUGCAAGUUAUUAAUAAUUGUUUUAUGUAUGAAAACAACAGCUUUCUCAUCAACAUUAUGUCAAUUGUUCCAUCCUUAUACCAUUAAUAUGAUAAGUAUACACUUAUACUUCAAAUAACAGAAAAGUAGGCAUUAAUCAGCAAAGCAGUUCAGGAAAAUCAAUCUGGCAGGACUGAAUAAAAUGGACUUGAAGAAAGUAGGCUUAAAGCAGAAAUAUAUUGACUAGGACUCCAUUGCCAUUAUCUAAACAAGAAUUAAUAAGUUUCCUAACUAGGAAUGAAAUAGAAGAAAUGGAAAGAAGAGACAGUUUUAAAAUGUAAUGAAGGGAGAAUUGAUGCAUUUGGAUAACUGGCUGAAUAUAAGAAGCAAGAGAGACUAUCAUAAUUAUUAGAUAUUUCAGAUAGAGGAUAAUGUGGGCAUGAGAGAAAGAGAUGCCAAGAUGGUAGUACGUAGUAGAGAGAAGGCCAAGGAAAUACUUACAUUUCCUUAAGUUGGGAAAUACUUAUACUUGAAGAGUGCAGGAAGGAAGGAAUAAGCAGAGAGAGCUAAGGAGAAGCAAAAGAACAAUUUCACAAAAACAUGGAUUUAAGGAAGUAGUGGGCAGCAAUAUUCAAUGCCGCAGAAAGGGCUCCAGAUUUUAUGAGUAGGAAGUCUCGUGACCUUUAAGAGCACAGGGUUCCAUAGAGGAGUGAGGACAGAAAUGAAAUUUAGAAGGAUUAAGGGAUGAGUGAAGGAUAAGAAAAUGUGACAGUAUUUUUUCAAAAUGAAUAAUCAAGCAAUGAAACAUGGAGGAACCUCAAAUGCAUGCCACUAAGUAAAAGAAGCCAGUUUGAAAAGGCUGCAUUACUGUAUGAUUCCACCUAUAUGAUAUUCUGGAAAAGGAAAGGCAUGGAGACAAUGAAAAGAUCAGCGGCUGCCAGGGGUUGCAGGGAGGAAAGGAUGAAAAGGCAGAACACAUCAAAUUUUUAGGGCAGGGGAACUAGUCUGUAUUAUACUAUAAUGGUGGGUACAUGUCAUUAUGCGUUUGUCAAAACCUGUAAAAUGUACACCAGAAGUCAACCCUAAUGUAAAUUAUGGACUGAGUGAUUAUGAUGUGUCAGUGUAGUUCAUUGGUUGGAACAAAUGUACUCUGGUGGGAGAUGUUAAUAGUAGAUGUUGGCCAGGCAUGGUGGCUAAUGCCUGUAAUCCCAGCACUUUGGGAGGCCGAGGAGGGUGGAUCAUGAGAUCAGGAGUUCAAGAGCAGCUUGGCCAACGUGGUGAAACCCUGUCUCUACUAAAAAUACAAAAAUUAGCCGGGCGUGGUGGCAGGUACCUGUAAUCCCAGCUACUAGGGAGGCUGAGGCAGAGAAUCACUUGAAUCCGGGAGGCAGAGGUUGCAGUGAGCCGAGAUCACACCAUUGCACUCCAGCCUGGCAACAGAGUGAGACUCCAUCUCUAAAUAAAUAAAUAAAUAAAUAAAUAAAAUGAAGUCAAUUUUAAAAGAAUGUAUAACCAUUUUUCAUUAAUAUAAACUUCUGUGUUACAUACAUGUAUGUAGUACUUUUAUUGUAUCAUUUUAUAGCC